rnacentral:tRNA from 1 species
AGGGCUGUAGCUCAGUGGUAGAGUGUCUGCCUAGCAUGUGCCAGGUCCUGGGUUCAAUCCCUAGCACCACCA